AUUGCGCUUAGUUACACAACAACGACUUUUCGUGCAAGUGUUGCGCAAAAAAUCGGCGUUACAAGUUGAUCCGUGUAAUACCUUUAAAAAAAAUGUUUUUAGAUGGCAAAGCUAGCGAGGGGGCCUGGAUCGGUUUAAGUGACAUCCAAGUAGAAAACCAAAUCAAGUGGUCAGAUGGAACACCGCUGACCUACCAGCCUAAUAACGACUUGUCCAACACACACGAUAAGGAUUGUGGAAAUAUCAAUUGGAGCAAUACGAGAAGCGAAUGGACUAUGAGCUUUUGUGAGAAAAAGUUGCCCUUCAUCUGUGAAUUCCAUGACAACAGGAAUGGUUGAAACCAUCAACUUCUUGACCAGAAAAGCACUGUAGAAAGCUGAAAACUAAUUAAUGCGGACACAAACUGCUUUUCUUCUUUAGAACACUUUUGUGUUUUACUUUCUGUGCAUGACCUGAAUGACUUCCAGGCAUCUGGGUUUGAUUUUUGGCUUCUGUCAAUCGCAGAAAUUCAAAUGUUUUGCAACGCGAUUGUGAGGAAGUUUAGACAACGUCAUAUUGGAAGUUAUUUUACCAUUGUAGUGCAAACUUCUCUUCCUCUUCAAGGGGAAUCGAGGGGUUGCGUCGGUAAAUGAAGAAAGAGAGAGAAGAGAAGGGACUGAAGGGGUGAGGAAGAGAAAAAGGAGCACUCUCUUGUCCCUUGUUAAUUGCGGCUUGAUGCUGUAAAAUAUCAUUUUUAGAUGGCAAAGCUAUCGAAGGAGCCUCUGUUGGGUUGAAUGACAUCCAGGCAGAAAACCAAAUCAAGUGGUCAGAUGGAACACUGCUGACCUACCAGCCUAAUAACGACUUGUCCAACACAGAUGAUAGUGCAGAUGGCAGUGCCGUGAUACGAUUGUAUGAACUUACUUUGCUUACUUCAAAUGAACAUAUACUUGCUAAAUCCUAGAAAGUAACUUAGUGCAACGUUUGUAAGCAGACAACAUAGGAAGACUGCUUAUCAUUUCAAUAUUGAUUAACUAACAUCUUAAUAGGUAAGCAAGAGUGUGACAUUUGCAUAUAUUUCAGGCCCCUCACAAUAACUCAUUCACAAGUUUAAAAGGAAAAGGAAAAGCAAAGGAAUAUUGGUGUUGCAAGAUAUUUAGAAAAUAAGUUAAGUAUGCAACUGUAAUGCUAAAGAACAAAAGAACAAAUAAUUUCUGAAAUUGUUUUAUUUCAUAUGAUUUGCUUGUUUAAUUAAGCAAUAAGAGCAGAAGCAGUAGAAGACUCACUGAAAUAAAAAUAAACAAUUCUCUGAUUAAUGUAAAACCCUUUUCACCUAUGAAAACAAGCUUUUUGGUUGUUUUCCAUAAAAAAUUUACUUAUUGUAAUAAUACGUGCAUUGGUUACUAGUAAACUAACUUAUUUAGGUAGGUGAAAUACUUACUACUUCCAGUUAGGUGGCAGGACUCUCUUGGUUUUGUAGUAUCGAGCAAGACGGUGGAUUCUACUCUCAAUUAAAAUUAGUCUGAAUUUGGAAUCUUUAUCCUGUUAUCAAUAAAGAAGAAAAUCAUCAUGAGUUGAAAAAAAAGAUAACUCAAAAACCUUGAUGAAUGAAUGAAACUUUAUUGCAAUGUCUACUUUCUAGAAGUACACAGAUGGGUGGUGUACACCACUAAUGGGCAACACUGUAACUAAGACUAUAACUUACAUAUGAAUAAACACUUAGAAAUGUC
rnacentral:lncRNA from 1 species